rnacentral:sRNA from 1 species
UACACCAUCUAUGAUAUAACCUCUAGAAUGAUCGCUGCUGCUGCCCUUUGCGCUAGAAUCCAGCUCUGGUGCCCUGAGAGGUAGAAAGUCCUCAAACAGUUGGAGGUGCAGUGUUCUCGCGCUUUCCCUUGAAGUUAGUUAAACUUCCACUCAAGCUUUGGAGGCGUCAAAUAAGCAGUUUGCAGCCUUUUCUUUCCUUUCUUUCCCUUAUUUUGCUUUAGAGGGACGGGUGACCAAACAAAUGUUCUGGGGGGCCGUUAAGCAGAACAAAAUUCUUUGCGAGAGCACGUGCCAGCUUUAUUACAAUGCACGGCACACUCUGAGAGCUUUUGGCACGCACUGGAGCACAAUGAAUUCUGGAGCUCUGGGGACAAAGAACGCUGCUAAUUUGUGCAGCCACUGCCUGAGAGCCUGGGAGCUGGGCGGGGAGCUUGGAGGACACUCCUCUAAGAAAGGAUGUUAGAGAAUCGGCGUAGAUGGGUUUGCCAGGCAUAGGAAGGGGAAAGACCCAUCUGGGGUGAUAUUCCGGUUUCUGCUGACCCAUGGGCCUGAUGUCAGGAUAUCUUGUCCCACCCCAUAUAGCUCAAAUCUGUACCUUCCCCGCUGGAAACUCGCCUCUCUAAGCCACACAGCUGCUACCACUGACCUUCUGAGAGGAAGGCAACGUACGCUAAUAUUUAUAGAGGAAACCAGGAAGUGAGGAGGCACAGCCUGGGCUUCCUGAUGGGGUUGUUGACUCAUAGUGCCAUACUUCCAGCGAUUUCCUUCAUUUCUUUGUACCUCAGUUUCUUAGCAAAUCAUGAAGGAUGAAAAUGGAAUCCCCUAGAGGUACAGGGAAUACCUAAUUGGCAUUUAUGGGGUUUUUUUUUUUUGUUUUUGUUUUGUUUUUGAGAUAACAACAUAGAUAGCUUCCUUACAUGAAAGAUUGCUUCUUUAUGUUCAUCUCCCCAGCAUAGGACUGAAGAAAUACUAUUUGAGGUCCUGUGUGGGAUACAGCACUACUUCAGCUCGUCCACAGCAGCUGACUAUGAUUUGUCUCAUGCUCUGGCAGGGAUUCUGCCAGCUGAAGAUAGUUUGUGUUUGGAAUUCUGGGGACUCUUGAGAGGGUUUAAAAAUGGCAGAGCCCUGAGAGGCUGCUGCGACUGCUUCUCCCUGAGCUGCUGCUGGUUCCUGUCACUGUGGUUUGUCAAGUAGUCCUGGGUAAAGAGAUGAGAAGAAGAAAUUAGAUAUCCUGAUGGUGAAGAUUGGGCUUGCCUCAAGGAACUCACGGCUCCUAAUCAGCAGGAAGGAAUCGGAAGAGAUCUAGGCCCCUUUCCUCCUCUAACCUUCUUUCUCUCCUGCCUAGUGAUGGGUGGGUGGGAAGGGUUGGGAGGUAGAUAAAGGAAUCUAAUAAAGUAACCAAAAAGUAUGCACACACUGAAUAUUCUCCAGUCCUCGAAAACUCUCUUUUGCAAAGAUCUCAUUCAUCAUCAAGGCUUCACAUGGGAACUCCGAGUGCUUGGAAUGGAUUCCACGCCUCUCUGCAGACUACACCUUUCCUUCCAGUUUUGGAAGCUAAACCUUCUACUCCACGUAGCAUAUAGAAAUUUCAACUCAAGUGAUCCAAGUAAUCUAAUACACACUUGGAUGGGGCAGUCCAUGCCUGUCAUCCUCCCACUGAGACUGAGGGAAGAGGACCACAAGUUUGAGAGUAGCCCAGGCUACUCAUUUCAAAAAGCCAUAAAUAAAUAACACACAUGAUGUAACACACUCUGUUUACCCCACAUCCUUUUGUUUUCUCUGCCUGGGCACCUCCCAUGAACCAUCUGUUUUCCCAAGCCAGGGGCAUUGUCAUCCUCUUUGAUUGAUUCUGUUCUCUUUCUCCACGACAUGAUUUGUGUAAGUUCUAUUUCAAAAUUAAUUGCAUGUAUUUGUUGUUGUUGUUGUUGUUGGGCAUGUGCUCCCCCUCCUCCCCUUCUCACUCCUCCUGCCACAUCUUCUGGAGUGAUAGGCACUCAUGUUUGAGUCGCCAUGCCUGGUUUCCACACUCCACUUCCACCCCUCAGUUUUAUUACUUCCCAAUGUGAAGUCCUGAUAACCCAAGCACCUCUCAGGGUGUGACUUUAGGGGUUGUUAUUGUUAAGUUCGGCUCAACACUGAAGCUUGGCUUGAAAGACCCUGAAUGACCUGGCUCCAGUGUUUGCUAUGGUAUUGACGAAUCUGCAAUUUCAUGUGCCUUUAUAGCCUUUACUACGGAUCAGUUUUCUUUCGCUUGGUCAAUUCACCUUGUCGAUUUCUCCCCACCCCCACCCUCACCCUCAAUCUCUCUCUUUUGAGACAGGGUUUCUCUGUGUAGACAAGGCUGUCCUCAAACUCAAAGAGCUCCAUCACCCUCUGCCUCCCUAGCACUGGGAUUAAAGUUGCCCAGCUAUUACUGCUUAUCUUUUAAAUAACACUUAGAUUAUGAUUUCUGGUUAGUUUGUGUGUUCUUCUCAAACAAGUAAUAUUACCUUCUUCUUCCUACUUUUCUCAUGAGAGACAGAUGUGACAAACAGAAGUGACUGUCCCAUGGAGGAAUUUUCUUUGGAUCAUGGUUUCAAGUGCUGUUGUGCACCAUGGAAAAGAAAACAUGGCGGAAUUCACAUGGCAGAGAUGUUCCCCUUGGACAAAGAUUCCUCCCAUGCCAGUGGACAGGAAGCAAAGACUAGAUUGGACCAAUAGACCUGCCCUUACUAAUCUACUUGUGCCAGCCAGGCCCUAACUUCUAGGGGCCCCACAGCUUUCAACCAUACCCUGGCAAUGGAGAGUUUAAAACAUAAGGCUGUAGGAGACAUUUCUGAUUCAAAUCCCAACACUAUCACAGCGUUCGUUGGUUUCUGUCUCAGAAGGAGAAAAGAUGACUGCUGUAAUCUAAAGGCUAAAGGGCCUUCCUCUGAGAUGGCCACUCACAUGGUUUGGAGGCCUCUGCUACUGAGAAACUGUAUAGGCCUCUCCAGAUGUUUGCUUGAGAAUCUAUUUGAGAAUUGUCUUAGUUUGAGUUUCUGUUGCUGCAGUGAAGCACCGUGACCAAACGUUGAGGAGGAAAGAGUUUAUUUGGCUUACACUUUGAAGGAAAUCAGAACAUGAACUCAAGCAGGGCAGGAACCUGGAGGCAGGAGUCAAUAUAGAUGCCUUGGGGUAUUUUUUUGAGGGAGGAGUGCUGCUGUUUACUAGUUUGCUCCCUAAGCUUGUUCAGCCUUCUUUGUUAUAGAACCCAGGACCACCAGCCCAGGGAUGUCACCAUCCACCAUGAGCAGGGCCCUCCCUCACCAAUCACUAAGAAAAGGCCCCACAGCCAGAUAGCAACUGAGGUUCCUUCCUCUCAGACAUCUCUAGCUUGUGUCAAGUUGCCAUUCAACUCUCCGGUGUAACAAGGUAUCUUAUUUAUCCUAAGAAGCUAAGAAAGAGCAAAAGAGAAACUGUUGUAUCCUUUUGGUGUUGUUUGUGGUACUAGGGAUUGAAUUUAGAGUUGUGCACACGCUAGGCAAGUACUCUUAUUACUGAGUUACAUUCCUAGCCUAAACUGCCCUAGUUCUCACUUGAAUAAUUAUUUGGUUACAUUGCCAGUAAGGAAUUCAUUCAAAAUGACUAAAUACUACUUAUUCUUUUUUUCUUUUCUUU